AAUCGGAACUGAGCCAAAGCACGCACCACGUCCUCCGGCUUCCUCAUCCUUUCCCUCGACGCGGCGGAACCCUAACAUCCCAGUCGCCGCCGGCGCAAACCCUAGCCGCCGGCUACCCGCUGCAGCCACAGAACCAAUGCUGGGCAGGGGCCGAGGGCGGAGCCGAGGCGGGGGGAGAUUCAGCGGCGGCGGGAGGGGCGACGGCUCGCCGCGGUACGGCGCCCGAGACGAGCCACCACGGCGCUCCUCCGGGUGGGGCGUGGCGCCGCCGUCUCGGCACCUGUGGGUGGGCGGCCUGGGCCCCGGCGCCACCGCUUCCGACCUCUCGCAGCUGUUCAUCCGGUGCGGCGAGAUCGAGGGCAUCUCCCGCGACCCUGGCCGGACCUUCGCGUUCGUGAGCUUCGCGCGGGAGCAGGACGCCGUCGCGGCGGCCCGGGAGCUGCAGGGGGCUCGGGUCCGCGGGGCGCCCGUUAGGAUCGAGUUUUCCAAGGGGGAUAAGUCUUCGGAUAGCUCUGUGGAUGACAGAUAUACACAAUCUGCUAAUGAGAGACCUUUUUUUGAAAGAGGAAGAAAACAUCAGCCAAGCCCUGAAAAACCAAUUGAUAGAUCUAAAAGAAAUAAGAAUGCAGAACCUAGUGAGGUGUUAUGGAUAGGUUUUCCUCCUGGUCUAAAGGUAGACGAAGCAGCUCUGUGGGAAGCCUUUUCACCUUUUGGCGAGAUUGUUAAGAUAACAACAUUCACAGGCCGCACCUAUGGAUUUGUGAAGUACACUACCAUUACAGCGGCAUGCAGGGCAAAAGAAGCACUUCAAGGGAGGCUUUUCAAUAAUCCAAGAGUAAGCAUAUGCUUUUCUCGUAGUGAUGGUGGUGCAGCAGAAGCUGGAAAGGGUACCUUCAUUGCCCCGUAUUCACCCCAUCUAAACCCUAGUGCAAGGCCUAUCUUGGAAGCUCAAGAUUUUGAGGCCUUUCACAGGCCUAGGUCUUUUGAUAGUCCUCCAAGAGAUUUCCGCAUGUCAUCGCUGCAUUCUGGCCCUGAAAGAUCACUGAGAGAUGCUGAUGAUGUGGGCUUCAGCAGGGAUAAUCAUUUCCGACGCGGACCUGGAAUAGAGUCUGGCCAUGUUUCUAAUUUUGAACCUUUUAGAAUGCGAGGGUUGGGUCCAGAAAGAAGGAUGUCCGAAGACCUAAAUGAACAACAUAGAAGUAGCCCUACUGUUAGGAGUGAUGCACCAUGGCGCAAUAUUCCGUUUGAGCGACCUCGAAGACCCUUACCGUUGGAAGAUUCUUGGGAUGCAGAGGGUAACUCAUACCCAUUGUCGAAGAAGCUGAGGACUGGUGAAGUGCAUGAUGCUGAACUUCCUGAAUAUCCUUUCUCCGAAUUUGAUCGAGGACAUGUUGACUCUCACUACCCAAGGAGGCCCUUCCAUGAUCUGCCAGAAGAUGAUCCACACCCCAUAACAUAUCACCUCCCCCCGAUGCACGGUAGAAAUUACAUGGAUCCUUCAAGAAAUCCAACCCCACCUGCUGAUAGACAAGAACCAUGGCGUUCACAGAACAGUUUUGGGACGCAUGCAGGAGAAGUGGGUAAAUCAACUCCGGAACAUCAUGGACCCCUUCCUAAGGAAGAGUGGAACUGGAAUGGUACAAUAGCAAAGGGUGGUACGCCAAUCUGCCGAGCUCGGUGCUUUCCUGUUGGGAAGGUCCUUAACUUCAUGCUGCCCGACUUUUUGGAUUGCACUGCUAGGACAAAUUUGGAGAUGCUUUCUAAGCACUACUAUGAAGCCGCUAGCAGUUGGGUUGUGUUUUUUGUUCCAGAAAAUGAUGCUGACAUGGCAGCUUAUAAUGAUUUCAUGAACUACCUUGGUGAUAAGCAACGUGCAGCAGUUUGUAAACUUGGAGAAAGGAGCACCUUGUUUCUUGUUCCACCUUCAGACUUUUCUGAGCAAGUACUGAGGGUGCCAGGAAAAGUGAGCAUAUCUGGAGUCAUUCUGAAGUUUCAGGAGGCAAAUCAAGAUUUAACCUCCACAAAUCGCCAACCGGAGGUAGUGGAAAAAGUGCCCGCAUCUUUUGCGAGUCAUCUGAACACUGAUGUGAGUAGUCAUGAAGAUCAGGAUGCAUUGAGAAGACUCAACCCUCCAGAUAUGAGUGCAGUUCCUCAGGGUCCAGAUUAUCUCCGGUCAUCGGCUGGAAUCUCUACUCCGGCAAGUGCAGAUUUUGUUACACCAUACAAGUUUGCGAAUGCUCCUCCAUAUCUGGGCUCUCAGUUACCUCAACAAGUGCCAGAACCGGACUCCCGCAGAGAGAUGGCACAAGGCCAGCACCAGCAAUUCCCAAAUAUGGGGCCCUCCAGAUGGUCUAAUAACAAUGAUCCUAGUCCAUAUUCUGGUAAUUUCAAUUCUUUGGCUAAGAAUCCAGCCUCACAUACACUAAAUGACAGGACAUCAGAUCUGUACUCAUUUGCUACUCAGGGAGUACCAAAAGGUACACAAUCAGGGUAUGCACCAGGUGAAGCAUCGAGCAUGUCCUUGCCUUCUAUGGAACCUCCACCACACCAGGUAUUUAGACCUCAGCAACCUCCAUCUCUCCCAGUAUCGCUCCCGCCGGAGCAACUUGCACAACUGGCCACUAUUCUCGCACAACAAAACCAACGAGGAAAAGAAGCUGGUUUACCAGCAGGCAGCUCAAACAAACAAUCUGGAUUCAUACAUAACUCUUAUCCACAUGAGCAUGCUUCAGUGAUGCCAGACAGCUCAGGUCAAUUCAUACAGAACUCUAAUCCUCAUGGGCAUGCUUCAGUGAUGUCAGACAGCUCAGGUCAAUUCAUACAGAACUCUAAUCCUCAUGCGCAUGCUUCACUGAUGCCAGACAGCUCAGGUCAAUUCAUACAUAACUCUAAUCCUCAUGGGCAUGCUUCAGUGCUGCCAGACAGCUCAGGUUCCAUCCCGGUCUACAACUCGCAUUUACCAGUUCCACCAUCUGCCCCGUCACAAUUACAGGUCCAUGCGCAACCAAUACAAGGUUCACUACCAUCAAACCCACCAGUUAAUCUUCCACCAAAUGCUCCUAUCCCUCGUCAUACAACUUCACAUUUACCACCUAUGCAAGUUUUCGCAAGUGCGGCUCAUUCUUCAAUGCCGUUGGGAUCAUUUGUUCCUCCACUUCCAGAAGGCCCUCCCCCUUUUCAGCAGCUUAGUUCAGGCGGUGCUUCAACUUUGCUUCCUUCUGUCCAGCAGAUGGGCCAGCAGCCGUCUGCUCAAGAAGACCUUGAUGGAGAUCCUCAAAAACGCCUUCAAGCAACAUUGCAGUUGGCAGCAACCCUGCUUCAGCAGAUACAUAAACAGUCAAAACCUGGUGGCCAGUAAUAGAAAAUAAGAUGAACGAAGCAGCCAUUUCAAAUAUAGCCUAGCUUCUGCACAUUUGCCCAGUGUUGGCGACUGAUGAGUUCUGGCCGCAAGGAGGGAAAGCUACGGAGCUGUUUCAAGUGAAGAACGCCCUGAUCAGUCGUUAUUGGUAAUGUUGGUGCACAAGGAUCGUAUGGUGCUAGAUAGCCUGAUACUGCUGUGGGGAUCUUGAUUUACCAGCACCUAACAAUCGUAGGCUAUUAGUUGCUGUCUGAAUUGUCCCCUUCUCGUCUAAAUGGACCACCCUGAUUCUCGAUUUCCCGUUUGCUUUUUCUUUAGCCUGUUUAUUACAUCCUCUACUUGGAUAUACAAAGUCCACUAACUUACUGUGGUUCCAGGUGUUCUGUUGAUAUGGCUUCUAUUAUCAAUACAUGUAAUGCAGUUCAGUGUUGAAGCUCUCA